UACGUAGGGCGCAAGCGUUGUCCGGAAUUAUUGGGCGUAAAGAGCUCGUAGGCGGUUUGUCGCGUCUGUCGUGAAAGCUUGGGGCUUAACCCCAAGUCUGCGGUGGAUACGGGCAGACUAGAGGCAGGUGGGGGAGAACGGAAUUCCCGGUGUAGCGGUGAAAUGCGCAGAUAUCGGGAGGAACACCGGUGGCGAAGGCGGUUCUCUGGGCCUGUACUGACGCUGAGGAGCGAAAGCGUGGGGAGCGAACAGG
rnacentral:rRNA from 1 species